GCCUGUUCCACCACUUCUUACAGCGCUAGAUUAACAUAGGCCUAUUCCGACCUCCAGCAAGCGCACCCAUCCCCUCGAGAUAACUAGGCCACAUCCGGCCAAACCCUAAGGCGAACUGGAAUCCCCCAAGACAAACCCAGAAAACCAUCUCGUCAGAAUUUUGACGGCAGGGCACUCACAUUGCUGAGCGCACUGCCGACAGGAACGGGCAAUAGCCUCAGCCUAGC